UACGGGGGGGGCAAGCGUUGUUCGGAAUUACUGGGCGUAAAGGGCGCGUAGGCGGUUCGAUAAGUCAGCUGUGAAAACCAUGGGCUUAACUCAUGGCCUGCAGUUGAGACUGUCGGGCUGGAGUGUGGGAGAGGAGAGUGGAAUUCCUGGUGUAGCGGUGAAAUGCGUAGAUAUGCGGAGGAACACCGAUGGCGAAGGCAAUCCCCUGGGCCUGCACUGACGCUCGAUGCACGAAAGCGUGGGGAGCAAACAGG
rnacentral:rRNA from 1 species